GUUAGAAUGCAGAUGCAUGUGUAUAAGCACAGGUAACUUCAAAUGGAGUUCAGUUCAGAUGUCAGCUUCAUUCUCAGCGGAGCCCGCAAUGCUUACGGGCCUCCACGCCCCAGAGAACUUGCCUCGGAGCAGCUAAUUAAGAAGGCAGCAAGAGGAGAAUAUGAUGGGGUCUGUUUGAUUCUGAGGAACGGGCUUGCUCAUCCAGACGUAGCUGACAAGCGUGGAUACACAGCACUUGCUGCUGCAGCUGCAAGAUUCUAAGCAUGACUCUUUACCACAUGAUAAGAAAAUUCCUGGGGUAGUAGGCUGGAUUAAAUUUUUCUCUUGUUUCUUUA